GAUGAACGCUGGCGGCGUGCUUAACACAUGCAAGUCGAACGAAGCACUUUACUUGAUCUUUUCGGAGUGAUUGUUUUGUGACUGAGUGGCGGACGGGUGAGUAACGCGUGGGUAACCUGCCUCACACAGGGGGAUAACAGUUGGAAACGGCUGCUAAUACCGCAUAAGCGCACAGUACCGCAUGGUACGGUAUGAAAAACUCCGGUGGUGUGAGAUGGACCCGCGUCUGAUUAGCUAGUUGGCAGGGCAGCGGCCUACCAAGGCGACGAUCAGUAGCCGACCUGAGAGGGUGACCGGCCACAUUGGGACUGAGACACGGCCCAAACUCCUACGGGAGGCAGCAGUGGGGAAUAUUGCACAGUGGGGGAAACCCUGAUGCAGCGACGCCGCGUGAGCGAAGAAGUAUUUCGGUAUGUAAAGCUCUAUCAGCAGGGAAGAAGAAAUGACGGUACCUGACUAAGAAGCACCGGCUAAAUACGUGCCAGCCGCCGCAGUAA
rnacentral:rRNA from 1 species